rnacentral:rRNA from 1 species
GACAGAGGGUGCAAACGUUGUUCGGAAUUACUGGGCGUAAAGCGAGUGUAGGCGGUCUGCUAAGUCUGAUGUGAAAGCCCGAGGCUUACCCUCGGAAGUGCAUUGGAGACUGGCGGACUGGAGUCCCGGAGAGGAGGGUGGAAUUCCUGGUGUAGCGGUGAAAUGCGUAGAUAUCAGGAGGAACACCGGUGGCGAAGGCGGCCCUCUGGACGGUGACUGACGCUGAGACGCGAAAGCGUGGGGAGCAAACAGG